rnacentral:rRNA from 1 species
UACGUAGGCAGCGAGCGUUGUUCGGAGUUACUGGACGUAAAGGGCUCGUAGGCGGCCAACUAAGUCGGAUGUGAAAUCCCCAGGCUCAACUUGGGAACUGCAUCCGAUACUGGAUGGCUUGAAUUCGGGAGAGGGAUGCAGAAUUCCAGGUGUAGCGGUGAAAUGCGUAGAUAUCUGGAGGAAUACCGGUGGCGAAGGCGGCAUCCUGGACCGACAUUGACGCUGAGACGCGAAAGCGUGGGGAGCGAACGGG